CCUACGGGAGGCAGCAGUGGGGGAUAUUGCACAAUGGAGGAAACUCUGAUGCAGCGACGCCGCGUGAGGGAAGACGGUCUUCGGAUUGUAAACCUCUGUCUUUGGGGAAGAAAAUGACGGUACCCAAAGAGGAAGCUCCGACUAACUCCGUGCCAGCAGCCGCGGUCAUACGUAGAGAGCGAGCGUUGUCCGGAAUUACUGGGUGUAACGGGAGCGUAGGCGGGCGAGAAAGUUGAAUGUUAAAUCUACCGGCUUAACUGGUAGCUGCGUUCAAAACUUCUUGUCUUGAGUGAAGUAGAGGCAGGCGGAAUUCCUAGUGUAGCGGUGAAAUGCGUAGAUAUUAGGAGGAACACCAGUGGCGAAGGCGGCCUGCUGGGCUUUAACUGACGCUGAGGCUCGAAAGCGUGGGGAGCAAACAGGAUUAGAUACCCGUGUAGUC
rnacentral:rRNA from 1 species